rnacentral:rRNA from 1 species
GAUGAACGCUGGCGGCGUGCCUAAUACAUGCAAGUCGAGCGAAUGGAUUAAGAGCUUGCUCUUAUGAAGUUAGCGGCGGACGGGUGAGUAACACGUGAGUAACCUGCCCAUAAGACUGGGAUAACUCCGGGAAACCGGGGCUAAUACCGGAUAACAUUUUGAACCGCAUGGUUCGAAAUUGAAAGGCGGCUUCGCCUGUCCCUUAUGGCUGGCCACGCGUCGCAUUAGCUAGUUGGUGAGGUAACGGCUCACCAUGGCAACGAUGCGUAGCCGACCUGAGAGGGUGAUCGGCCACACUGGGACUGAGACACGGCCCAGACUCCUACGGGAGGCAGCAGUAGGGAAUCUUCCGCAAUGGACGAAAGUCUGACGGAGCAACGCCGCGUGAGUGAUGAAGGCUUUCGGGUCGUAAAACUCUGUUGUUAGGGAAGAACAAGUGCUAGUUGAAUAAGCUGGCACCUUGACGGUACCUAACCAGAAAGCCACGGCUAACUACGUGCCAGCAGCCGCAGUAA